UACGUAGGGGGCUAGCGUUGUCCGGAUUUAUUGGGCGUAAAGAGCGUGUAGGCGGCCAGGUAGGUCUGCUGUGAAAACUCGAGGCUCAACCUCGAGACGUCGGCGGAAACGAUCUGGCUAGAGUCCGGAAGAGGAGAGUGGAAUUCCUGGUGUAGCGGUGAAAUGCGCAGAUAUCAGGAAGAACACCCGUGGCGAAGGCGGCUCGCUGGGACGGUACUGACGCUGAGACGCGAAAGCGUGGGGAGCGAACAGG
rnacentral:rRNA from 1 species